UACGGAGGGAGCUAGCGUUGUUCGGAAUUACUGGGCGUAAAGCGCGCGUAGGCGGCUUUGUAAGUUAGAGGUGAAAGCCCGGGGCUCAGCCCCGGAACUGCCUUUAAAACUGCAUCGCUUGAAUCCGGGAGAGGUGAGUGGAAUUCCGAGUGUAGAGGUGAAAUUCGUAGAUAUUCGGAAGAACACCAGUGGCGAAGGCGGCUCACUGGACCGGCAUUGACGCUGAGGUGCGAAAGCGUGGGGAGCAAACAGG
rnacentral:rRNA from 1 species